AUACGGAAGGUCUGGGCGUUAUCCGGAUUUAUUGGGUUUAAAGGGAGCGCAGGCGGAGAUGCAAGCGUGACGUCAAAUUUCGGGGCUCAACCCCGUCUCGCGUCGCGAACUGCGUCCCUUGGUUGCGGGAAGGGGAGGCGGAACUCGUGGUGGAGCGGUGAAAUGCAUAGAUAUCACGAAGAACUCCGAUCGCGAAGGCAGCCUUCCGGCCCGUCAACGACGCUCAUGCUCGAAGGUGCGGGUAUCAAACAGGAUUAGAUACCCUGGUAGUCCGCACAGUAAACGAUGGACACCCGCGGUUUGGCCUGUAUGGCUGAGCCGCCAAGCGAAAGCGUUAAGUGUCCCACCUGGGGAGUACGCCGGCAACGGUGAAACUCAAAGGAAUUGACGGGG
rnacentral:rRNA from 1 species